rnacentral:rRNA from 1 species
GACGAACGCUGGCGGCGUGCUUAACACAUGCAAGUCGAACGGUAAGGCCCUUCGGGGUACACGAGUGGCGAACGGGUGAGUAACACGUGGGUGAUCUGCCCCGCACUUCGGGAUAAGCCUGGGAAACUGGGUCUAAUACCGGCUAGGCCCACUGCCUGCAUGGGUGGUGGUGGAAAGACUUUGCGGUGGGGGAUGGGCCCGCGGCCUAUCAGCUUGUUGGUGGGGUGAUGGCCUACCAAGGCGACGACGGGUAGCCGGCCUGAGAGGGUGACCGGCCACACUGAGACUGAGAUACGGCCCAGACUCCUACGGGAGGCAGCAGUGGGGAAUAUUGCACAAUGUGCGCAAGCCUGAUGCAGCGACGCCGCGUGAGGGAUGACGGCCUUCGGGUUGUAAACCUCUUUCAGCACCGACGAAGCGCAAGUGACGGUAGGUGCAGAAGAAGGACCGGCCAACUACGUGCCAGCCGCCGCGGUAA